ACCUGCCUUGUACAGGGGGAUAACAGUUGGAAACGGCUGCUAAUACCGCAUAAGCGCACAGUACCGCAUGGUAUAGUGUGAAAAACUCCGGUGGUAUAAGAUGGACCCGCGUUUGAUUAGCUAGUUGGUGGGGUAACGGCCUACCAAGGCGACGAUCAAUAGCCGACCUGAGAGGGUGACCGGCCACAUUGGGACUGAGACACGGCCCAAACUCCUACGGGAGGCAGCAGUGGGGAAUAUUGCACAAUKGGCGAAAGCCUGAUGCAGCAAACGCCGCGUGAGCGAAGAAAGUAUUUCGGUAUGUAAAGCUCUAUCAGCAGGGAAGAUAAUGACGGUACCUGACUAAGAAGCACCGGCUAAAUACGUGCCAGCACCCCGGUAAUACGUAUGGUGCAAGCGUUAUCCGGAUUUACUGGGGUGUAAAGGGAGCGUAGGCGGUGCGGCAAGUCUGAUGUGAAAGCCCGGGGCUCAACCUCGGUACUGCAUUGGAAACUGUCGUACUAGAGUGUCGGAGGGGUAAGCGGAAUUCCUAGUGUAGCGGUGAAAUGCGUAGAUAUUAGGAGGAACACCAGUGGCGAAGGCGGCUUACUGGACGAUAACUGACGCUGAGGCUCGAAAGCGUGGGGAGCAAACAGGAUUAGAUACCCUGGUAGUCC
rnacentral:rRNA from 1 species